AGUAGAAGAAAUCUUCCAAAUAAAAAGCUGUGCGGAAGCAAACCCUCCAUAUCUCUGUUUACUACUUUUGCAGUUGCUGAUAAUGCAGAUUCUGACAGCUCAGACUCAGUUUGAGGGAGAGCCUCCUCCUCUCCCUGGCUGCCACCACAGCCUUCUGAAGAAGUGUGCAAAGGGACCUCAUGCUCCAAGCAUGGACAAGUCACGCUCAGUCUCAAGACAUAUGCUAACUCUUCUGAGCCCCCGAAUACCGUGCCCCUGGGAAAAGCUGAAGAACUACAAGUCCCCUGGUACUGCACUGUGCCCACCAAAGACCCACGAGGGCAGAGGGAUGCUGGGAAUUUAACCAAGUCAUCUGACUCAGACACUGUAAAACAUGGGGCAGAGCUUUCUGUGUAGUGAAGAGUUAGGCAGCUGAAAUUCAAUCUCUGUGAAGUGAUAAGCCUUAAUUUCUGAGAACUCCAUUACUAAGAUCUUUAACUCAACACAGUAGGGCAGUACUUAGUCAAAUAACAAUAUAAAGACAUAGAGGGAAAGGCCCCGUGCCAACUUUCAGGUUUAGAAGUGUAUUUCAUGAUUUUUUUCAGCAGUACAUUUUAGAACAAAACUAACCCAGCAACGAACUACAUGUACAUAAACUCAGGAGUUGCCUAAACCAGGGGACUUUGUAUAAAAGAUUCUAUUCAUAAAUAAAACAACCUUCGUUCAAAGUAA